CUAAGUGAAACGCGAAAAACGUGCGUGUGAAAUUUUGCACUCGUGCACGUGCUGUGCACGGACGACCCAGCAACGCGAUCCCAGAAAGUUGAAACAUUUUCAACUUUUCAUCGCUGUCGCUCGGACGAGGACCAAUCAACGGAGGUUUCAUUCACUGACCAAUGAGCGGACAGGAUGCUCCGUACACGAGCAAACAUGGAGGAGAAGUUGAUUAUUAUUAUGUUUUAUAUAGUAAAAUCAGAAGUAAGAUUUCACAUAACUCUAGCAGCACCUUGUGAAACAUCAUACGUACCACUUUAUUAACUCUGAACCGCUUAAAUAACCUUAAUUCCCUCCAACCUGACACAGACAAACAAAACAACGGAAGUUUCGAUUUCGCCAUGGAACAGAACGCGUAGACGGCUUUGCCGCAGGCCGCUGCCGCGGAUCGCCUCCCGUGUGUCAGGUAAUAAAAGCGACAGCGACAAAUUUCGCUGAUCGCGGUCGUUUGUCGCCUCCCGUGUGUCGAGCCGAAUACGUGACAAAACGAUAAUCGCAGGUCUCCCUCCUACCAAGCGAAACGCGAAAAACGUGCGUGUGAAAUUUUGCGCUCGUGCACGUGUCGUGCACAGGCAACCCAGCGACGCGAUCCCAGAAAGUUUAAACAUUUUCAACUUUUCAUCGCUGUCGCUCGGACGAGAACCAAUCAACGGAGGUUUCAUUCACUGACCAAUGAGCGGACAGGAUGCUCCGUACCCCUCCGAGCAAACAUGGAGGAGAAGUUGAUUAUUAUUAUGUUUUAUAUAGUAAAAUCAGAAGUAAGAUUUCACAUAACUCUAGCAGCACCUUGUGAAACAUCAUACGUACCAACUUAUUAACUCUGAACCGCUUAAAUAACAUUAAUUCCCUCCAACGUGACACAGCCAAACAAAACAACGGAAGUUUCGAUUUCGCCAUGGAACAGAACGCGUAGACGGCUUUGCCGCUGCCGCGGAUCGCCUCCCGUGUGUCAGAAACCUGCAUGAACGUGCUUCAGCAACAUUACCGAUCUCCGAGAUCCCUGGGCCAAGAAGGGCUUCUUUGUAUUUGCGUAAGCUUUCAUCAUCCUUGUCCAGCUCCUGGAUCUCUUUUACUGACUUCUGGGCUGGAGGCUUGUAGUUUACUGGUUCUGGCUCCUCAUUUUCAGCGGCAAUAGCUGCUAGCUGCUCUGGAGUCACCUCAUCCUCAGCCAUGUCUAGAGGCGGAGCGGGCAGGGGGAGACAAAAAACGAGCUAGCUGAGAAUAAGAGUAAAAUAAAUGGAUAAAACAACUGGAUACAUUCCUGAGGGUGAAGACUGUGAAUCAGAUAACAUAAAGCUACCAUCAGCCUGGACAGAAAUCAUCAUUCAUCAUCUGAAAUCAUCAUCUCUGUGCUGCUGCCAAAACUGACACUGCCGUGUGAGAUCAUCUCUGGUCAACUGAAUUACGUGUCUCGCAUCACAUGAUAAAAGCCUCUCUGGGAGGAUGUGGUGAAGACCUCACUGUUCAGGUCAUGGGAAAAAACGCAACUUUCUCCGGAGCAUCAGGAAUGAGACAGAUGGGAUUUAAGGAAUGGUAUCAUCUCAUUAUGAGAAUUUAUAUUUCAGUUUAGAGGUUUUUCUUUAAUUUAGCCACAGAUUCAAUUAAUUCUUAUAAGACCAUAUGAUUGUGAUGAGCGUUUAGUGCUACAAUUUAUUUUAACAACUAACUGUUCAUUUGGCAGUCUUCCAGUGGAAAAGUCAUCUCCCGCUCAGAAGUCAGUGUUAGAACGAUUUCCUCAGCCGAAACACGGCGAGUAACAAAAGCAGGAAGAGCUCCGUUUGGUUUGACAUUCCGGCCAUCCCACCCGCAGAUCUCCACACAACCAUCAAUACAGGCCAGGGGACCAAAGUUGUGCAGUUUAAACAUUUAUUCAGAAUGAUUUCAGUUUUUAUUAGAAUUACUUUAUCCUUUUCCCAACUUGGAGCUGCUUACUAAUAUUUAACAAUGUUACUGUAAUUGAUUUAUUGCUGUUGUCCUCACGACCUGACUCUGGAUAAGCUGAAGAGGGAGGGAGAGAGGGAUGGAUGGAUGGAUGCUUUUUUUAAAUAAAAAUGUCUACAACAUCAU